CCGCGUGAGUGAGUGAAGGCCCUAAGGGUUCGUAAAGGCUACUUUUCGUUGCGGGAAGAUAAUGACGGUACCGCAAGAAUAAGCCCCGGCUAACUUCGUGC
rnacentral:rRNA from 1 species